rnacentral:tRNA from 2 species
CGGGAUGUAGCGCAGUCUGGUAGCGCACCUGCUUCGGGAGCAGGGGGUCGCUGGUUCGAAUCCAGUCAUCCCGACCA